rnacentral:rRNA from 1 species
AGAGGAUGAUCAGUCACACUGGAACUGGAACACGGUCCAGACUCCUACGGGAGGCAGCAGUGAGGAAUUUUGCGCAAUGGGGGCAACCCUGACGCAGCAACGCCGCGUGAGUGAAGAAGGCCUUUGGGUCGUAAAGCUCUCUCAACAAGGAAGAAAUUAGGAUCUAUUAAUAGUGGGUUCUAUUGACGGUACUUGUGGAGGAAGCGCCGGCUAACUCCGUGCCAGCAGCCGCGGUAACACGGGGGGCGCAAGCGUUAUUUGGAAUUAUUGGGCGUAAAGGGCGCGCAGGCGGUCUUGUCCGUCAGGUGUGAAAGCCCGGGGCUCAACCCCGGAAGUGCACUUGAAACAGCAAGACUUGAAUACGGGAGAGGAGAGAGGAAUUCCUGGUGUAGAGGUGAAAUUCGUAGAUAUCAGGAGGAACACCGAUGGCGAAGGCAUCUCUCUGGACCGAUAUUGACGCUGAGGCGCGAAGGCGUGGGUAGCGAACGGGAUUAGAUACCCCGGUAGUCCACGCAGUAAACGUUGUACACUCGGUGUAGCGGAUAUUAAAAUCUGCUGUGCCUAAGCUAACGCAUUAAGUGUACCGCCUGGGAAGUACGGUCGCAAGACUAAAACUCAAAGGAAUUGACGGGGGCCCGCACAAGCGGUGGAGCAUGUGGUUUAAUUCGACGCAACGCGAAGAACCUUACCUGGGUUUGACAUCCUGUGAAUAUCCCGUAAUUGGGAUAGUGCCUUCGGGAGCACAGAGACAGGUGCUGCAUGGCUGUCGUCAGCUUGUGUCGUGAGAUGUUUGGUUAAGUCCAGCAACGAGCGCAACCCUUAUCGUCAGUUGCCAGCACGUAAUGGUGGGAACUCUGGCGAGACUGCCCCGGUCAACGGGGAGGAAGGUGGGGAUGACGUCAAGUCCUCAUGGCCCUUAUAUCCAGGGCUACACACGUGCUACAAUGGUAGGUACAAAGGGCAGCGACUUUGCAAGAAGGAGCGAAUCCCAAAAGCCUAUC